rnacentral:rRNA from 1 species
UACGGGGGGGGCAAGCGUUGUUCGGAAUUACUGGGCGUAAAGGGCUCGUAGGUGGCCAACUAAGUCAGACGUGAAAUCCCUCAGCUUAACUGGGGAACUGCGUCUGAUACUGGAUGGCUUGAGUUUGGGAGAGGGAUGCGGAAUUCCAGGUGUAGCGGUGAGAUGCGUAGAUAUCUGGAGGAACACCGGUGGCGAAGGCGGCAUCCUGGACCGAAACUGACACUGAGGCGCGAAAGCUAGGGGAGCAAACGGG